rnacentral:rRNA from 1 species
GACGAACGCUGGCGGCGUGCUUAACACAUGCAAGUGGAGCGACGAACCAGGGCUUGCCCUGGGGCAAAGCCGCGAACGGGUGAGUAACACGUGGGUAACCUGCCCCGAUGACCGGGACAACCCGAGGAAACUCGGGCUAAUACCGGAUGUGGAGCUCUCACAUCAGUGAGUUCUCUAAAGGUAGCUUCGGCUUCCGCAUUGGGAUGGGCCCGCGGCCCAUUAGCUUGUUGGGGAGGUAAUGGCUUACCAAGGCUUCGAUGGGUAGCUGGUCUGAGAGGACGAUCAGCCACACUGGGACUCGGACAAGGCCCAGACUCCUACGGGAGGCAGCAGUGGGGAAGCUUGCGCAAUGCGCGAAAGCGUGACGCAGCAACGCCGCGUGGGGGAAGACGGCCUUCGGGUUGUAAACCUCUUUUAGCAGGGAAGAACAGUCCCGCGAUUAAUACUCGCGGGAUUUGACGGUACCACAGGAAGAAGCACCGGCUAACUCCGUGCCAGCCGCCGCCGUAACAC